AACAUGGCAACACCAUAGGUACUUUACUCGAGAACACACCCAACGGAACGAAAGAUAAAACUACUUAAACGAUACGCAAUCCAAAUACGGGGACAAACAAACUACAGUUUAAAACACUGUUUGAUAAUCUACAAAACCUAAAGAUAACUAAGCAACAAAAGCAAGAAAUUGUUUUUAAAAGAUUCACCCAAAAACAUACGAAAGAGACUGAUAUUAACUCGGAGGUGAAGCUUUGGCAACCCCACCACUAGGUGGAACAGACUGCGCAGUUGGAGCUGCUUCAGAAGCAUAUGCUUGUGGCUGGGAGUAAGCACCAUAGGCGCUGUUGUAAGGAGGUGGCUGCUGUCCAUAACUAGGCGGAGCGCCAUAAGACUGGGCACCAUAACCUGGCUGAGCUGGUGGAGCACCAUAUGCAGAAGAGGGAGGUCGCUGGGCGUUGGGAUCAGCCUGGGCAUAACCUGAUUGAGCUUGAGCAGCUGGUUGAGGAUACCCGGGUUGCGCUGGGGCAGGCUGGGCAUAACCAGCUUGUGCACUAGGAGACUGCUGUGGUUGACCAUAGCUUGCCUGAGUAGGAGGUUUUUGAGCCUGAGGAGCCCCAUAACUAGCAGCAUAGCCUCCAGCUGGCUGUGUACCAUACCCACCUUGAGAAGUUGGGGGCACCCCAUAUCCAGCCUGAGCAGAGCCUUGAGAUGGGUAGCUAGGAUUAGGGCUGGGCUGCUGGCCAGAAUGAUAUCCUUGUUGAGCUGUGGCUGAUGCUGGUGGAGGUGCUUGACUGCCAUCAGUUUGGGCACCAUACGACGAGUUCUGGCCGUCUGAUGUUGGGUUUGAGGCAUUCCCAUAGCCAGCAGUAGAGCUAUAGCCUUGUUGCUGCUCAUAACCAGAACCCUGAUACCCACCAGAAUGAGGGGCAGGUACAUGAUAUCCACCAUAGCCAUCCUGGGCAUAAGCUUGUCCUUGACUGUAACCUGAGGCAGGUUGCUGGUUGUAACCAUAGGCACUAUUAUCAGUUGAAGCAGCUGAACCUCCAGCAGCUUGCUGCUGUUGUUGUGGAGCCUGUUGGUUGUAGUAAUCAUACCCUCCUGCCUGAGAUUGUUGAUUUUGAGCACCACUCUGAUCCCAGCCAGAGGCAUAUCCAGCAGAGGCAGGUUGAGGAGGGUAGCCAGGGUAAGAUGGUUGAGAAGGAUAUGCACCAGGCUGACCAUAGCCAUAACCAGAUUGUUGCAUAGGUGCACCAGGAGGGGCCCAGCUUGUAGGAGGCCGGGCCUGAUAACCCUGUUGAUAUCCUCCCGACAUCCCUUGAUUCCUAGCACGAUUCUCGCUAAUUACUUCAUACACCAGCUGCUUAGCAGCCUCAAUCUGUUCACUUGACCCGUCAAUUUGGACUGUUCUUUCCUGCGAUGUGUCACCAGGAGGCAAGUGCAAAGGGAUCACCUGAAUACGCGCUCCAGUUCUUGCCUGCAUACUUUUUAUAGUUUCACCUCCUUUUCCAAUAACAAGACCAACCUUGUUGUUAGGGACUUUCAAGGAAAACUGUUCCCCUCCAGAUUGCUGUCCAGGUAAUCUUCGGGAAACUAGACCAGAACCACCAGAAUCGGCCUCAGAAAGAACCUCAUUAAUCAACUGUUCAGCCUUAGCAAUUUGGUCUGGAGUACCCAUGAGUUCAACUGCUCUGUUUUGAGAAUUAGGAUCAGCAUCCAUGUCUCUAGUAACCUGAAUUUUGGCUCCAGACUGGAGUUGAAGAUACUUGAUGGUCUCCCCACCUUUUCCUAUAAUCACACCAACUCUGCCAUUUGGUAUUUCAAUCUUCUUGCUCUGCCCCGGAUAACCAUAUGAACUUGUAACUGAAGGAGUAACAAUGGGCUUGUGUUCAUAGGAAUCAUAUCCACCGGCACCACCGCCGUUAUUAUCAACUCUAGGUUUCUUCGCUUCAGCACUAUUCAACAACCUAGCAGCGAUCUCCUGAGCCUUCUGCUUAGCCAACUGGAAAUCAUCCAUAGGCGGCGGAACAUUGUUGUAAGACGAAGGAGGAGCAGCACCGUCAGGAGAAGAUAAGGAAGCGAUCGGAGCAGAAAAUCCAGUAGGUCUACGAGGACCAGGAGACGGUGCCGCUUGAUCAUCGUACUUCCUCUUGUUGUUACCGGCAUCUGGUGCACCGUACUGUGCUUCUUCUGCCAUUGUUGCUUUCGAUUUGCUCAGAUUUGGGGUAAAAGGAGAGCAGCGGCGGUAGGGUUUUCGAAACCCUAGUGAGAGAAGUG
rnacentral:misc_RNA from 1 species